rnacentral:rRNA from 1 species
CAGCAGUGGGGGAAUAUUGCACAAUGGGCGCAAGCCUGAUGCAGCCAUGCCGCGUGUGUGAAGAAGGCCUUCGGGUUGUAAAGCACUUUCAGUCGUGAGGAAGGUAGUGUAGUUAAUAGCUGCAUUAUUUGACGUUAGCGACAGAAGAAGCACCGGCUAACUCCGUGCCAGCAGCCGCGGUAAUACGGAGGGUGCGAGCGUUAAUCGGAAUUACUGGGCGUAAAGCGCAUGCAGGUGGUUUGUUAAGUCAGAUGUGAAAGACCCGGGGCUCAACCUCGGAAUUGCAUUUGAAACUGGCAGACUAGAGUACUGUAGAGGGGGGUAGGAAUUUCAGGUGUAGCGGUGAAAUGCGUAGAGAUCUGAAGGAAUACCGGUGGCGAAGGCGGCCCCCUCGGACAGAUACUGACACUCAGAUGCGAAAGCGUGGGGAGCAAACAGGAUUAGAUACCCUGGUAG